rnacentral:rRNA from 1 species
AAACUUUCAACAACGGAUCUCUUGGCUCUGGCAUCGAUGAAGAACGCAGCGAAAUGCGAUAAGUAAUGUGAAUUGCAGAAUUUAGUGAAUCAUCGAAUCU